rnacentral:rRNA from 1 species
AUUGAACGCUGGCGGCAGGCCUAACACAUGCAAGUCGAGCGGAUGAAGGGAGCUUGCUCCUGGAUUCAGCGGCGGACGGGUGGGUAAUGCCUAGGAAUCUGCCUGGUAGUGGGGGAUAACGUCCGGAAACGGGCGCUAAUACCGCAUACGUCCUGAGGGAGAAAGUGGGGGAUCUUCGGACCUCACGCUAUCAGAUGAGCCUAGUUCGGAUUAGCUAGUUGGUGUGGUAAAGGCCUACCAAGGCGACGAUCCGUAACUGGUCUGAGAGGAUGAUCAGUCACACGGGAACUGAGACACGGUCCAGACUCCUACGCGAGGCAGGAGUGGGGAAUAUUAGACAAUGGGCGGAAGCCUGAUCCAGCAAUGCCGCGUGUGUGAAGAAGGUCUUCGGAUUGUAAAGCACUUUAAGUUGGGAGGAAGGGCAGUAAGUUAAUACCUUGCUGUUUUGACGUUACCAACAGAAUGAGCACCGGCUAACUUCGUG